GAGUUUGAUCGUGGCUCAGAACGAACGCUGGCGGCAGGCUUAACACAUGCAAGUCGAGCGCGUGUAGCAAUACACGAGCGGCGCACGGGUGAGUAACGCGUGGAUAUCUGCCUUUUGGUUCGGAAUAACCCCGGGAAACUGGGCUAAUACCGAAUGGUUCCUACGGGAUAAAGAUUUAUCGCCAAAAGAUGAGUCCGCGUCCGAUUAGCUAGUUGGUGGGGUAAUGGCCUACCAAGGCGACGAUCGGUAGCUGGUCUAAGAGGAUGAUCAGCCAGACUGGGACUGUGACACGGCCCAGACUCCUACGGGAGGCAGCAGUGGGGAAUUUUUGGACAAUGGGGGCAACCCUGAUCCAGCCAUGCCGCGUGCGGGAAGAAGGCCUU
rnacentral:rRNA from 1 species